UAAAAUUAUGCCUUUAUAAAUGUUCUUAUAAAAUCUGCUUCUUAAGUUAGAAACUGAGGAGACAAUCAGGAUGAAAGGCAAAGAUAUGGGGAGCUCAAAUGGUAAAACGUGGAAGCAUGGAAGAACAGGUCUCAAACCAGCAACAAGAAAGAGGAUUUAUAUCCUGACUGAGCAGUUUCACUAGGAUAACAAGGAAGAACCUGCUCCCUCUCCUACUCUGUCCAACAUGCUGGUGCUUCUGUCUCUGCUGGACUGUAGAAAGCUGCAUGUGUUCUUGGGCUUCCCUCAGUGAACAAGGUGAGCUAAAGGUAAGUAGAGGGGAGAUACA
rnacentral:lncRNA from 1 species